GGCACAGUGGCGCAGUGGUUAGCAUUGCCGCCUCACAGCAAGAAGGUUGUGGGUCCGAAUCCGGUCUGUGUGG